rnacentral:rRNA from 1 species
UUGACGGGGGCCCGCACAAGCGGUGGAGCAUGUGGUUUAAUUCGAUGCAACGCGAAGAACCUUACCUGGUCUUGACAUCCACAGAACUUAGCAGAGAUGCUUUGGUGCCUUCGGGAACUGUGAGACAGGUGCUGCAUGGCUGUCGUCAGCUCGUGUUGUGAAAUGUUGGGUUAAGUCCCGCAACGAGCGCAACCCUUAUC